CUCAAUGAAAUUCAAUAGCCGCAAUACUCUUGUGCUAAGGUAGCAUAAUCAUUUGUUUUUUAAUUAAAAACUAGAACGAAAGAUUUAACAUUUUUAUUUCUUUUUUAUAUAAAAAUAUUAAAUUUAUUUUAAAUAUAAUAAAAUAUUUAUAAAUUAAGAAGACAACAAGACCCUAUUGAACUUAACUAAAGUUAAACUGGGGCAGUUAAUUAAAUAUAAUUUUAAUUAAAAAUUAAAAAUAACCUAAUAUAAUUAACACAUCAAGUUACCAUAGGGAUAACAGCGUAAUAAUUUUCUUAAGCUCUUAUUUAAAAAUAUGCUUACGACCUCGAUGUUGAAUUAAUAAUCUAUUAAAUGCAAUAAUUUAAUAAGAAAGUCUGUUCGACUU
rnacentral:rRNA from 1 species